CGUCAGCCCCGCUUCCUCACCCUGGCAACGGGCGGGUGACUACUUCCGGCGCUGUGAGGGCUCGGGGCUGACGCGGGGCAAUUCCUCUCCUGCAGUUACUUUUGGAUGGAAGUAUGCUCUUUUCCCAAUAGAAGAUGGUAAUCUCGGAGAAUGACCAUGGAGAAGGGGAUGAGUUCUGGAGAAGGGCUGCCUUCCAGAUCAUCUCAGGUUUCGGCUGUUAAAAUAACAGUCAAAGAGUUGGAAACAAAGCAGUCCCAUAAGGAGAAGCGAGGGGGCUUUGUGUUGGUACAUGCAGGUGCAGGUUAUCAUUCCGAAUCCAAAGCCAAGGAAUAUAAACAUGUAUGCAAACGAGCUUGUCAGAAGGCAAUUGAAAAGCUACAGGCUGGUGCUCUUGCGACAGAUGCAGUGACUGCAGCUCUGGUGGAACUCGAGGAUUCUCCUUUUACAAAUGCAGGAAUGGGAUCUAAUCUAAAUCUCUUGGGUGAAAUUGAGUGUGAUGCCAGCAUAAUGGAUGGAAAAUCCUUAAAUUUUGGAGCUGUUGGAGCACUGAGUGGAAUCAAGAAUCCAGUCUCAGUUGCAAACAGACUCUUGUGUGAAGGGCAGAAGGGCAAGCUCUCGGCUGGCCGAAUUCCUCCCUGCUUUUUAGUUGGAGAAGGAGCCUACAGAUGGGCAGUAGAUCAUGGAAUACCCUCUUGCCCUCCUAACAUCAUGACCACAAGAUUCAGUUUAGCUGCAUUUAAAAGAAACAAGAGGAAACUAGAGCUGGCAGAAAGGGUGGAAACAGAUUUCAUUCAACUAAAGAAAAGAAGACAAUCAAGUGAAAAGGAGAAUGACUCAGGCACUUUGGACACAGUGGGCGCUGUAGUGGUGGACCACGAAGGGAAUGUUGCUGCUGCUGUCUCCAGUGGAGGCUUGGCCUUGAAACAUCCAGGGAGAGUUGGACAGGCUGCUCUUUAUGGAUGUGGCUGCUGGGCUGAAAAUACUGGAGCUCAUAAUCCCUACUCCACAGCUGAUGUGGGGAGCAUCUUGUACGUACCAUACUGGCUAGAGAAUGUUCACACGCUUUACAAGCUGAAGAUGCUCACCAAGCACUGUUGGAGACUAUGCAAAACAAGUUUAUCAGUUCACCUUUCCUGGCCAGUGAAGAUGGUGUGCUUGGAGGAGUGAUUGUUCUCCGAACUUGCAGGUGUUCUGCAGAGUCUGACUCCUCCCAAGAUAAGCAGACACUUCUAGCAGAAAUUUUAAAUUGACACUCUUCCAGAAAAAUGAAAUGUCACAUAAAGUAUCCUUACAUGCUCUAAAAACAAUCCAAAACAGUAUGGCUCGGAAAUGUUGGAUAAUGACAAGUGUCUGGGAACAAGAAGAUUUGGAGACAGUCAAAAAUGGAUCACAGAAGAUAACCUCUGCAAACAGCCUUGUAAAAAGGACAGUUUGGAUGUAAAUGUGUUUGCAACACCCAUCCCUCCACCUCCCACUCCCCAGAUCAUGAAAUGCUGGCAAAGCCCAGCCUACAAAUCGCUGCUUUAACACAAAGCAAAUGCUUCUUCCUGGAGUGAAACAGCUGAAAAGAAUUAAUUUUCUCUGCUUUUAGAGAAAAAAAAAAAAAAACCCAAUAUAUAUUUUACCUGCUAAAGUACAAUUACAUGUGCUUUCCAGGCCUGUACAGAAGAGCUUUAUUGAGGCUGCUGUAUACAGUAUGGCUAAUAAUUGUGUAAACAGAGGCACAUCAAGCCUUCCAGUGGGAAAAAAAUGAGUCUUUUUCUGUUUUAAACUUGUGAUUUGACACAAGUAAUUAGAAUAGAUACAAAUACAUGGCAUAAAUAGCCAAUCUCACUAUAUGGGUGCAUUUCUCUCCUUAUAGCUUGCCCUCACUGUACUGGUGGGAGCCUGACAGACUUUGUGAAGUUCAGGGGUCCCUCCCUUAGAACGGUUACUAGGAAGCAGUGAAUAUGGGGAUCAAUGAGAAACAGACUCCAUAUAGUUAAGGAAAAUCUUAAGCAAUUCAGGAUAGGAGGCAUAGGGGCUCCUAGGGGCAAAAAGACUGUGUGUUUGGCCAGUGACCUCUGUGCCACUGUUGGGAGUCCUUCAUCCUAAAUAGAUUUGAGGCACUCAGUUCAGCCAGAGCCUGAUCAUCUGAUGAACACAUAUGGUAACUGUUACUCCCCCAUUAAGCUAGCCUCACCUUACGCAGAGAAUAACUCCAGGUUCCUUACUAUCCAGGAAUAUGUUCGUUAUGCUGAUAAUUAAGUGUUGUACAUGAUAUUGCUUCUAAUUGUCCAGCUACCCCUUCUUUCCCUGUUUUUCAUCUUAACUAUGGAAUGUUUCAUAUAUUUUUAAAGGAAUGUAAUAAAUUUGUAAGUUAUAAAGGAUAAUAAUAAAAUGAACACCUGCGGACCUGCCACCCCGCUUACGAAAUUGUCCAUUACCCGUCUCUUUGAAGCCCCCGUGUGGGCCUGACUUUAUAUAAACGGUAGGAUAAAUGGUAUGUCAUAUGAUUUCUUCUGUGAGAAUCUUUGCAGUUUCUUACGUAAUUACUUGAAAGAAUAAUGAAUCCUUCCAUCAUUUUAGACUUAGCUCUCUCAAAUUAAAUAGUUUUUCACUUGCCAAUUAGAACUUAAAUGUGGCAUUCCCUCCCCUCCUUUGCAGAACAGGCAAAGUUCUUUAUCAAGUACUCUUUUUGUCACUGUUACCAAAACAUGCUAUGGUUUAAAAAUAAAAAAUGUUAGAUUGAGUUGAUGCUUCCUGGAACAUUAAAAAGAUAAAAGGUCAUUUUACUGUAAGUUAAAAUUCCAAACCGCCUUUUGGUUUUACUGGCAUUAAAAAUUUGGCGAGCACACAUAAACACAUGCACUUCAAAGGAGCUUCAUUCUGGGGGCCCCAGCAGUAUCACUGAUUUCCAUUUCAUGGCACAUGCCACCAUGAGCACUUAUGACUAGGCAUUCUGUUGGGCUCACAUGAUCAUAAAAAUAAGUCUCAGAGAGAAGGCAAAUUAGCUAUUAGGCUGGUAGUGGGAAAAGAGGUACUGAUGGAUGCUUAUCUGAUGUUAAUAACUUGUCUUAGAAAUAUAACUAAAACUUUGUUCUAUAAGAGGGUCCAGUGUCAUGGUUGGAAGCUUUUUUCUUUUUCUUUUUUAAAUUUUAAGUUCCAGUUAGUUAGCAUACACUGUAAUAUUAGUUUCAGGUGUACAAUUUAGUGAUUCAACACUUCCAUAUAACACCUAGGGAAGUGGGUAGAAGCUUAUUUCUUUAGUGCCCCAGCAAUGCUUUGGAAUUGAUACAUAUUCACUGUAGUCUUAGGAUAGAGGGUGACAUUUUGGUUCUUAUUUAAGGAUAAGAUGGAAGGAUGCAAAUUAAGUAGUUAUUCAUAAAUGCAAAGUAAAUAGGCAGACAUAUUUAAACUUUUCAGCAACAGAGCUGCAUUGAUUUAUUGAGGUAGUGCUCUGAGAUUUAUAUUUUUUAGAACUGUCAUUUUUAAAAUAAAAAGUUGUUGAUUACAUAUAGCUAUAAUCUGCUUUGUUUGCUUUAUAAAAACUUUUUUCCCCUUAAAUAUCACUAAUGUACUUUUUAAAAAUUAGAAAUGGAUGUUUAUCUGAAUUUUUUUUUCUCCAUCAUAAGAAGUGUAGUACUAGCUGUAAUCUAACCAUGUAGUACUUUUUUUUUUUGGCCACAAAAUUUUCCAUUUGAUAUAAAGAAUACAAAGAUUUAUGAAUAGAAUUCUAGUGAUUAUGUAAUUCUUAUUACUGUGGUUCUCCUAAAACUCUCAGAAAAAUAUUUUGACAAAUUUUAUAGUCAGUUUUCAUCUGCUCAAAUGGUAAUAGAGAUCACUCUAACAUGAAAUAAAUCCUAAAUAUUUGUUGAAUGAAUGAAAUCAUGUUUCAAUAAAACUUGUUUCAC